AGUGUAGAGGUGAAAUUCGUAGAUAUUUGGAGGAACACCAGUGGCGAAGGCGGCUCACUGGCUCGAUACUGGCGCUGAGGUACGAAAGUGUGGGGAGCAAACAGGAUUAGAUACCCUGGUAGUCCACACCGUAAACGAUGAAUGCCAGACGUCAGCAAGCAUGCUUGUUGGUGUCACACCUAACGGAUUAAGCAUUCCGCCUGGGGAGUACGGUCGCAAGAUUAAAACUCAAAGGAAUUGACGGGGGCCCGCACAAGCGGUGGAGCAUGUGGUUUAAUUCGACGCAACGCGCAGAACCUUACCAACCCUUGACAUACUUGUCGCGGAUUCCAGAGAUGGAUUCCUUCAGUUCGGCUGGACAAUGUACAGGUGCUGCAUGGCUGUCGUCAGCUCGUGUCGUGAGAUGUUCGGUUAAGUCCGGCAACGAGCGCAACCCACGUCCUUAGUUACCAGCAUUUAGUUGGGUACCCUAAGGAGACUGCCGGUGAUAAGCCGGAGGAAGGUGUGGACGACGUCAAGUCAUCAUGGCCCUUACGGGUUGGGCUACACACGUGCUACAAUGGCAUCUACAGUGAGUUAAUCUCCAAAAGAUGUCUCAGUUCGGAUUGGGGUCUGCAACUCGACCCCAUGAAGUUGGAAUCGCUAGUAAUCGCGGAACAGCAUGCCGCGGUGAAUACGUUCCCGGGCCUUGUACACACCGCCCGUCACACCAUGGGAAUUGGGUCUACCCGAAGGUGGUGCGCCAACUAUUUAUAGAGGCAGCCAACCACGGUAGGUUCAGUGACUGGGGUGAAGUCGUAACAAGGUAGCCGUA
rnacentral:rRNA from 1 species